AGUGAACGCUGGCGGUAGGCCUAACACAUGCAAGUCGAACGGCAGCACAGUAAGAGCUUGCUCUUACGGGUGGCGAGUGGCGGACGGGUGAGGAAUACAUCGGAAUCUACUUUUUCGUGGGGGAUAACGUAGGGAAACUUACGCUAAUACCGCAUACGACCUACGGGUGAAAGCAGGGGAUCUUCGGACCUUGCGCGAUUGAAUGAGCCGAUGUCGGAUUAGCUAGUUGGCGGGGUAAAGGCCCACCAAGGCGACGAUCCGUGGCUGGUCUGAGAGGAUGAUCAGCCACACUGGAACUGAGACACGGUCCAGACUCCUACGGGAGGCAGCAGUGGGGAAUAUUGGACAAUGGGCGCAAGCCUGAUCCAGCCAUACCGCGUGGGUGAAGAAGGCCUUCGGGUUGUAAAGCCCUUUUGUUGGGAAAGAAAAGCAGCAGGUUAAUACCCCGCCGUUCUGACGGUACCCAAAGAAUAAGCACCGGCUAACUUCGUG
rnacentral:rRNA from 1 species